GCCUCGUUUGGAAAAACUUAUUCAUCAAAUGGAUGUACCUAACACCGUCUGAGAUAAGUUUUUUCGGACGGAGGUAUUGGCCGCUCAUUCUUUUCCGUCGGGCUCUGCCACCGGCCGGCACGCUCGUAAUGGUAUGGAUAUUUUUUUUGAAUGUUGGCAGGAGAACUGCCAAAUUCAUUGAUCAGAAGAAGGUAUGGGUAUGGUAUGGGUGCUUUCCUCCUCUGAGGAUUCCUGUAAUGGUAUGGGUAUGGUCGUAUCGUAUCAACCACUGGCGAAGACUCCAAACUGCUCAACACAGGGGCGACAAGCCGACAAGUCAACCCGGCAGCGUACGAGCUCAAGCAUCAAAGGCUAGCAGAGGAAGGCCGGCCUCCACCUUCCAGGUGCUCCAGCUCCCCCACUGACCCGCCACUAUGCCGAUGGACACCCCGCCGCCGCGCGGGGCGGCGCUGUCCGACGACGACCGCCUCCUCGUCGCCCACUGCGCCGCGCUUUCCUUCCCCUCCGCCUCCCGCUCCCCGACCUCCGCUGCCUCCGCCUCCUUCCAGGUGCACCACGCGUCCCACCCCUACCCCUGCGCCGCCUUCGUCUUCCAGCCCACCUGGUCCGCCGCCGGCUGGAUGCCCUCCUCCCCCGACGCCGGCGGCCGCGCGCCGUUUGGGGACGCUGAGGUCGACCCCGCGCUCUUCCCGUCGCUGCGCAGCGUCGGGAGCGGCGUCCCCGCGCGCGCCAGCGCCGCCUUCGUCGCCGCCUUCAGGGGCCUGCUCGACGGCUCGCCGCUCCAAACCGAGGUAUCUAAAGCGGUGGCAGAGGAGAAACGCGUCGUAUUCACAGGCCAUUCAUCUGGAGGUUCAAUAGCCACCCUUGCUGCCAUAUGGUUUCUUGAGAACUGCACGAGACGGGGAAGUGUCAAUCAAGCACAGCCAUUUUGCGUGACCUUUGGGGCACCUCUUGUUGGCGAUAAUGUUUUCAACCAUGCUGUUAGAAGGGAGGGCUGGUCGCAGUGUAUUUUGCAUUUCAUCAUGCCACUGGACAUCAUCCCACGAAUACCGCUGGCCCCCCUUGAAUCCUCUAGAGAACAAAUUCAAUCUGUUCUGGAUUGGUUGUCUCCUCACAGUCCAAACUUCUCACCUGUUGGGAAUUCGCUUGUUAUUCCUGAGUUUUACGAAACUUUGUUGAGAAGCACCCUAUCUAUUGCCAGCUACGAGGCCUGUUCUUUCAUGGGAUGCACUAGCUCAAUCCUAGGGACGCUGACUUCCUUUCAUGGGAUAUCCCCUUACAGACCCUGUGGGACUUAUCUUUUCUUGACAAGCACCGAACAACUGAUUAUUCUCACAAACUCAGAUGCUGUAUUACAGUUGCUAUUUUACUGCCUUCAAUUGGAUCCCCAACAACAAUUGCUUGAUGCUGCCGCCAGAAGUUUAAGUGCUCACUGGGAAUAUGAAUCGAUUAAGCAAAAUGUGAUGCAAGAGAUAGUUUGUGUGGAUUACCUAAGAGCAAUUUCAUCAUCCCUUCCUGGUAGACAGAUGAAUGGGACAGCAAUUGGUGGCCUUGAACUGAGUAAGGAAGCUAUGCUGAGCCUUGCUGCUGCUGCACAAUGGGAGAAGCAAAGAGAGAUAAACCAAGCAAAGAUAGAUGCAAACUGCAGUAAAAUUCAGGAAGCCCUCAAGUCCUUGAAUGAGUACAAAAGAACAUGCGAGCUGCAUGAAGUGAGCUACUAUGAUUCCUUCAAGCUUCAGCGGGAAGUGCAUGACUUCAAUUCAAAUGUACGGAGGCUGGAACUAGCCGGCCUUUGGGACGAGAUAAUUGAGAUGUUGCGAAGGCGUGAGCUUCCAGACGCGUUCGAAGGGCGAGAAGAGUGGGUGAAUCUGGGAACCUCGUACCGUCGGCUGGUUGAGCCCCUGGACAUUGCAAACUACUACAGGCAUUCCAAGAACGAGGACACCGGCUCCUACCUCUCCAAGGGCAGGCCGAGACGUUACAAGUAUACUCAGAAAUGGCGCGAGCAGUUGCACCGCAUCCCCUUGGGUUCCAGCCUCGAGUCGUGCUUCUGGGCAAUGUCCGAGGAGCUGCAGGCUGAGAUGAUCAACGGCAAAUCAUUCGAGGAUUUGAAAGACAGGGUGGGUAAACUGGAGAGUGAUGCACUUGGAUGGUUCACCUCGGGAAAUCUUGGCAGGGAUGUGUUUCUGAGCAGCUCAUCCUUUGUGAUAUGGUGGAAGACACUCCCGGAGCAGCACAGGUCCGCGUCGUGCAUCGCGAGACUUGUGCCUUCGUAAGAGAAUUUCUCCGUGGCAUGAUGGGGUAACCAUUUCCGAUCUAACCGGAACUGCUGCCACAGGAUAUUGUAAGCCUGAACUAUCAUGUAAAGUCAUUUGUGUGUAGUAUUCUCCGGGAUGAAAACAGACUAUUUAAAAUGCUAAACAGUCGUUGUCCAAUAAAUUGACAGGCCCA
rnacentral:rRNA from 1 species